UCGACAAUUUUGGCGCGGAAAAAGUAAACUUUCUUUUGUUUUUGACGUCCUCAUUUCUUCUUCUGAAUAGCUAUGUAAGGCAAACAGUCCAGGAACUGAGUUUGUUGAACAAUCAAAAUUUAUCUUGGACAUUUACAUAAAAAGAAUGGAACAUUAUCCUGCAAAGCACCUUCUUCUAAAUGAUCAACGGCAGGGAUCUUAUUCACCAUCUGAAGAGCUAAAGAUUAAAUAAGCUAUUGCUUUUGAUUACUUCUGCUGAGGUGUUUAGGAAGAUAGAUGCAGUGACGAAGAUGUGUCAUCACAGCAGAAUAAAUGUAAAAGCAAGUUAGUCAGCAAAAUAAGUGCCUCGCAUUAUUUACCACUACUGAACAAUUUUGAGCUGAUGAUACCUGGUACUAUCAUUUUCUUUGGUCUGCGAAGAAUCUUGGAUG